UCCCUGGUGGCUCAGAGGGUAAAGCAUCUGCCUGCGACGCGGAACACCCGGGUUCGAUUCCUGGGUCGGGAA
rnacentral:tRNA from 1 species